GAAGUUUUCUGCUCCUGUCCUGUACUGGUUUUCACUAAGCCAACUGUGAGAUUUCUUUGUUGCAAUAUUGGGGUCUGAGAUAACACUGCUGGAGGCUGGAGGCAAGAAACAUAGCCGAAACCAUCUUUUAGUGUGUGCUGUUAUUUACUAGCGCUGUGAACCAAGGAAGCGAAAAAACAAAGAGCCCGAAGACUGCACAGUUCCAGCUUGUAGGCCCUGGAGACAGUCUGGAGUCCUCAGACGGACAGAAAGAAGACAUCAGAAGGGCAACCUGUGGUGCCUGUGGCUGCUGAGUACAGGCGUGGGUGACUGAUUUUUAAGAAAUCGGCAACACGGAAGCUGAUUAUAAAAUAUUCAUAAGAAGCUGGCUUUUACAGACCCAUAACUGGUGUUACACCCCCACUCCCUGCCACCACAAAUACUGAGUCCAUUCCAGGAAUAGAAACCGCCGAAGGAUUACAUUCUCCACGGAGAACGAUCUCUAUGAAGGAAGAAGAUGGACAAUGUCUAUACGCCAUCUUCAGUUGGUAACGCUGUGGCAGUUAGCAUAACCAGUGCUAGGCAAGAUUCAACCGCACUGGCUGCGGUAUGCGUGGCCAACCGGAGUGAGGACAAAUCCCAUUCCGUCUGAAGACUGUCUCCUGCCAGAGAUCAAAUGCAGCUCGCACAUACAUGACACCAAGCAGAAGCAAGUACUAUUCCAUUACAAAUGAAGCAGAGAGAGCCAGAAUUAUUUGGUCAGCUUGGUAUUCAAAAUGGUUGAGAUUCUGACCUUCCCACUCCUUCCUUAAUUAUCUUGAUAAUUUUGGCAAGAGGAGGUUUGUGGGGUGGAGAGGGAUAAUUCUGAAAGAAUUAAAUAAUUAUAGCAGUCAGGAAAUCCAUCCAGGGUUUUAUAAAUUCCUGCAUAAUAGUUCAAAAUCUCUUGAUUUUUCAUCGUGUAUAAGCUAAAUUCAUUAGCACAUACCUUAGAUCAUCUGUUAGAUGCCUAGCAGUGUAAAAACACAGGGCCUGUGAAGUGUUUUUUUUGGUUUUGUUUUGUUUUUAAUCUUGACUUUUACAGAAUAAAAACUACCACCACCAACAA
rnacentral:lncRNA from 1 species